AUCGGGUGGGUGGAGCAGCAGGUAGCUCGCAGGGCUCAUAACCCUGAGGUCGCACGUUCGGGAGUCGUGUCCCCGCUA
rnacentral:tRNA from 1 species